UGUGAGUGGCCAUGAGGGAUGAUAUAGUGGUUUGCUCCACAAAAAAUAUCCAGGGGCAUUGAGGAUCCUGGUACUGGUAGGCUUAUGAGAGGAUCUCCUUAGAAGAUUUUGUGAGAGAUUUUGUGAGGGUAGCUUCUAGUUGAGAGAUUUAUAUAUGGAGAGUUAAGAGUAUGAGGAUCUCCUCUUAUACUUAUUUUCUUUUCCAUAGUGAAGCUUGCAUGCCCCAUGGAAGAAGCACUUGGACUAUUCCACGU
rnacentral:lncRNA from 1 species